GAUGAACGCUGGCGGCGUGCCUAAUACAUGCAAGUCGAACGAACAGACGAGGUGCUUGCUCCUCUGACGUUAACGGCGGACGGGUGAGUAACACGUGGAUAACCUACCUAUAAGACUGGGAUAGCUUCGUGAGACCGGUGCUAAUACCGGAUCAUAUCUUCAACCGCAUGGUUCGAUAGUUACGGACGGUUUUGCUGUCCCUUCUAGAUGUAUCCGGGUCGCAUUGGUUGUUUGGUAAGGUAACGGCUUCCCAAGGCCACCAUGCGUGGCCGACCCGAGAGGGGGAACGGCCACUGUGGAACUGAGACACGGUCCAGACUCCGACGGGAGGCAGCAGUAGCGAAUCGUGCGAAAUGGGCGAAAGCCUGACGGAGGGGCGGCGCGUGAGUGAUGAAGGGCUUCGGAUCGUAAAACUCUGUUAUUAGGGAAGAACAAUUGUGGAAGGAACGAUGCACGUCGUGACGGUACCUGAUCAGGAAGCAACGGCUAACUACGUG
rnacentral:rRNA from 1 species